rnacentral:rRNA from 1 species
GGUGCUAGCGUUGCUCGGAAUCACUGGGCGUAAAGGGUGCGUAGGCGGCUUGACAAGCCAGAGGUGAAAGCCUGGAGCUUAACUCCAGAACUGCCUUUGGAACUGUCAGGCUAGAGUGUCGGAGGGGAUAGCGGAAUUGCUAAUGUAGCGGUGAAAUGCGUAUAUAUUAGCAGGAACACCGGUGGCGAAGGCGGCUAUCUGGACGACAACUGACGCUGAGGCACGAAAGCGUGGGGAUCAAACAGG